UAGUCAUGAAUUUAUUUAGAGCCAGAUGGU
rnacentral:piRNA from 1 species